GCGCGCUGGCCGCGUCGUAGACAGCCGCAGACGUCCUUGGAGAAAUGCGCAGUGGACGUUGUGCACGUGGUGACUGGAAUCAAGUGCUACCACCACCCCCUACCGUGGAAAAUUCCGCAGUAGCACGCAUUGCCGGUUUUAUUGCAAAGGCUGUCGGGGAACGCCGGACAUGCAACGCCUGCCCAAGCCUACAUACAUCAGGACCGUCUAGAUCAACUGUGAUGGGACUCAUUAGUCAGCAGACAAGAAGUGCUUUAGUGUUCCCGAAGCCCGAGUUUGUUGCUGUUUUAGUUAACGUGAAAAAGGCCGUUGACAUCGCACUGCCACACAUUGGCAAGGAAGAUGUGUGCAAAAGGUUGAGAGCUCUGAUCUCCCUUACUGAGCUGUCCUCUUUUUGCUUGCCCAGAAAGAAAUGAUCAUUCAUCGGUGACUUGCUCAAUAGUUGCCAACAAAUUUAUAAGACCCCUAUUGUCAAAUAUUGCCACAACCAUUACAGACAGAGUGGAUUACAGUACAAAAAACUAAUGAAUAAGCCGCCAAGCCGCAAGGUAUUGCGCGUUUGAAGGAAGCACCGAGGAUGUGCAGGAGCUUUGUGUUUUCGUUUUAAAUAAACUAUUCUACGCAUCG